GCCGUCGUAGCGCAAUGGUAGCGCGUCGCUUUCCUACGAGCGGUAGAUAGGCGAAGGUUGUGGGUUCGAUCCCCAUCGUCGGUA